UACGAAGGGGGCUAGCGUUGUUCGGAUUUACUGGGCGUAAAGCGCGCGUAGGCGGGUCGUUAAGUCGGGGGUGAAAUCCCGAGGCUCAACCUCGGAACUGCCUUCGAUACUGGCGACCUAGAGUCCGGGAGAGGUGUAUGGAACUCCUAGUGUAGAGGUGGAAUUCGUAGAUAUUAGGAAGAACACCGGUGGCGAAGGCGAUACACUGGCCCGGUACUGACGCUGAGGCGCGAAAGCGUGGGGAGCAAACAGGAUUAGAAACCCCCGUAGUCC
rnacentral:rRNA from 1 species